UAGUAGACUCAUUCUGGUCUAUCGAGGUCUCCUUGGCCAGCGAAAAAUUUUUGAACGACACUCUGCACCUUGACAGCAAUAAGUUAGUAACGUGAGCAUUGAGCAUCAUGAGUAUCUAGUUCACUAACACGAAGAAUCUUACAAGAUCUCCGUAGCAAAUACACAUUGACAAAAAAAUCGUGUAACUGUGAAUAAAUCGUUUAAAAAAAUUGUGUACUUGGGAAUAAAUCGUGUAACUCUGAAAUCGUGUAAGAAAAGGCCGUGUAAAAAGAGUCCGAGAAAUAUGCGACGAUAAAGUUUUUGAAGUAAGNAAUUCACGUUUUUCGUCGUGUGAUGUGCAUAUUCGUAGUUUUCCAGCAGAUGGCGAUAUAAGCGCGUUAGUUAGAAGAAAGAAUAGAAAGAGAAAA